GCCGGCAGUACGCCCAGCGCUGGCAUUCUUGCCCUAGCACCUGGGGCCCAGGUAAGAAUCCACGAUGCUGUGCUCAGUGCAGGCCUUGGCAGCACCCUGAGAAACCUGAGUGUCGGGGGCGGCCAGGCUCACCUGCUGGGUGUGGCCUAGAGGCGCGGCGCCAACCUCUGACUUAAGAUUUUCCCCAUCCUCUCCUCCCCAAGCCACCAGCCGCACCAUGGGAUGGGGUGGCCCCGAGUCACGGAGGCCUGGGGUCUCUGCACCUGGCUGAGGGGUACAUGGCAAUUCCCACACCUGUGCACCAGGCCUCACUUAGAGGCACGAGGUGCUGUGACCCCCUCUCCCAGGGAGCCCAGAAGACGGCUCAGCCACACCUGGCACCUGGCGUCUGGCAGACCUGCCUCUAGAAGCCUCAGCUCUGGGCAGCUGUCCCUUCACCUGAGGAGCACUGCUGAACCCCCGCCCCGCCAUGUCCUGCUGGCUCCUAAACUGCCCCCCUACAUGUGGGUUUCGUCUGAGCGUGGGGCAGGCGCCACUCACGGAAAAAAGGCAUCAGAGGAGCUUCGACAUCAUCGGAACAUUUUAUUCCUCGGGACGCUACACGCUCGCUUUCCUGGCGGAGCAGGUCAGUGCACGGAGCUGUGUUUCCACGGAAGAUGUGCACCUCCGGAACUGCGCGACAGCCCCUCAGCAGGGUCCCGCGGUCCGCCGCGACGCGGGCGCAGCAGCAAGUUCCUCCGGCGCGGAGCUGGCCUGCCGGGCCCAGGCACGAGGGGCCGUUCCGCUCCAGCAGUGCCUGCGACUUCCUCCGCAGUCUCGGCGCGAGCGUCCGUCCCCAGCUGCCCUCGGAGCCGUGCCCAGCCUGGCAUGCAUAUGCGGUGGUGAAGGGUACAGUUAAAGGGUCAAUCCCGCGUGUCCACAACAGAGACGCACGCAGCCUCACACGGACUCCUCCGUGGACAGCAGCAGCGGGUUGAUAUACUCGAAGCCUUCGAACUCCGACUGGUCAAUCCUCUUUAUGGUAUCCCUGUGGGCAGGAAGGGUGGGGGGACGGCGGGGGGUGACCGUGUGUUCAUUCCCUCGGGGGAGCAGAGUCACAUUCACCUAAGAUUCCUCCCCCACGCCCACUGGGGAGAUGACGCCAGGAGGGUGUGCGUCAAGGGCGGGCUGGGUCAACAGCUGCCCAAGGUGCGGCCCCUCCAUGGGGCUGCCCGAGGGGUGCUCCGGGGUCCCCGCUUCCCCGCCCCCAGUGGGCCUUACUCGUCGUCCGGGGUCAGCUGCACGGGCUCGCUGGUGAACUGGGUGUCAAAAUUGUCCAGACCAUAGUCGUCCGUGAUCUGUGGCUGGAACGGAGGGAGCGCCUGCUUCUUCUCCAGCUUGGAAAAACAACGUGAGAAGAGUCAGCUCCACGUGGGCAUCACCCCCACCAGAUUCAGUAUUUUGCAUGCACUUGAAUCACAAAAUGAAAUAGUAAGAAACUCAGCAUUUCAAUCUGCCUAGCAUUUGAAUGCUAAGUGAUUUUUCUUACAACACAAAAUAUAGGAAAUACCCAAAGUCAAAAAAA